rnacentral:lncRNA from 1 species
CAUUUGCACAACAGCAUGUGAAAUGUAUUGUCAAUCAGUGUUGCUUCCUAAGUGGACAGUUUGAUUUCACAGAAGUGUGAUUGACUUGGAGUUACAUUGUGUUGUUUAAGUGUUGCCUUUAUUUUUUUGAGCAGUAUACUUUACAAGACUUUCUGUAUACACUAUAUAUAUAUAUAUAUAUAAAAGUAUGUGGACACCCCUUCAAAUUAGUGAAUUCAGCAAUUUCAGCCACACCCAUUUCUAACAGGUGUAUAAAAUAGAGCACACAGCCAUGCAAUCUCCCUAGACAAACACUGGCAGUAGAAUGGUCUUACUGAAGAGCUCAGUAACUUUCAACGUGGCACUGUCAUAGCAUGCCACUUUUCAAACAAGUCAGUUCAUCAAAUUUCUGCCCUGCCCUGGUCAACUGUAAGGGCUGUUUUUCAUGGUUCGGGCUAGGCCCCUUAGUUCCAGUGAAGGGAAAUCUUAACGCUACAGCAUACGAUGACAUUCUAGACGAUUCUGUGCUUUCAACUUUGUGGCAAUAAUUUGGGAAGGCCCUUUCCUGUUUCAACAUGACAAUGCCCCCAUGCACAAUGCGAGGUCCAUACAGAAACGGGUGCCGAGAUCAGUGUGGAAGAACUCGACUGGCCUGCACAGAGCCCUGACCUCAACCCCAUCAAACACAUUUGGGAUGAAUUGGAACGCUGACUGCGAGCCAGGCCUAAUCGCCCAACAUCAGUGCCCGACCUCACUAAUGCUCUUGUGCCUGAAUGGAAGCAAGUCCCUGCAGCAAUGUUCCAACAUCUAGUGAAAGCCUUCCCAGAAGAGUGGAUGCUGAUAGCAGCAAAGGGGGGACCAACUCCAUAAUAAUGCCCAUGAUUUUGGAAUGAGAUGUUCAGUGAGCAGGUGUCCACUUACUUUUGGUCAUAUCGUGUACCUUGGGGUUGCCUUUAUAAAUGCAAAAAGGCUAUACAUGCAUUCAACACAGGUGGUACUGCACAUUGAGCUUUGUACUUGCUAUAAAUCAUUCAAUAUAGAUAUUGCUCCUGGCAUACUAUCAAUGCAUUCAUAAACACACAGGUGGUUCACAGAAUAUAUUACUUAGGGUUUGUUUUUUCAACUUUACUACUGUACUCUGUGUCAUCGUCUUCUUUAAACCUGAUGGAGGAGGCUGUGUUCACCAAUCAGAGCUCAGGACCAUCACGUUUAACCAAUCAAUCUUCUGGUCUGCAUAGAGAACCCUGACUGACUGAUCGAAGACCAGCAUGGUCUUUAUAAAGAACUCAAACUCCUACCCCCUUUCAGACUGACCGACCAUCACCGUAUGUCUUAGCAGUUCUCUGUUCAGUAUGAUAUCCAUAGCCAAGUAACCAACAACCAACCACCUUUUGUUGACUGCUUGUUCAGUAUUCUUGGCUGAUGGUUCCAGUGCUGGGAAUGUCUCUGAACUGUUUCAGUUGCACUAACAACACUCCACUCCACCUCGCCAUGUUGUGCUGUUUGCAUGUGGAGGAGGUUGCAUUGUUUUGCUGAUUUUUUUUCUCCAUCUAACCGAUGGCUCUCUCCUUAGACACUGUACAUGUGAAACGUAUAGAAGAAGUAUUACAACAUUUGUAACUGGGUCUUCCUAAAAAAAAGACUUCACUGCAAAGCAUGACUUGCUGCAUGACUCGCAUUGUUAAACAUACCUUAAUUUCAGUACUGUUUGGCCCUGCAGCUUGCCGUAGGCUAGCUUACUGUAUACUACUGUGAACUCCAUUGCCGAAUAUCAAAGGCAGACAUAAUUUUGAGGCAUGUGAAUUAGUAAUCAAUGUAAAUGUUUUAAAUCUAAUUUAUAUACACAGGACAUAUAGAUUACCUUCUGUCACUAAUUGGAACCUAGCAGUGCCAAAGUUCUCAACCACUGUGUUCACAUCUUCAAUGAUGUGGGCACCUUCAGUGAGUUUAACAUAACUAAUCACAUCCUAGCAGUGUCAUCUUAAUAUACAGUAUGAUGAUGAUGAUCUUGCUGUUAACUGCUGCCAGAGUUCUUCCUGUUACUAUAUGGGACUAACUGGCAUUCGGGCCCGGUCUCUUUGCAUGCCACAAGACAGUGUUAGCCUGUAUUCAAGCCUCGGCAUUAGUUUGGGUAGCUAACGUGAGUCUUCAGGUCUCUGGCAAGGUUACUAAUCCUGUGAGUGGGGUUCACUAAACCAGCUUCAGUACAUUUAUAUGUAGUUCAUUAUCAGUCUUAAGGGAGGUCUCCACGGUUCAGUGUUCCCAUUGGGCUACAUAACGCUACAUAAUUGCUGCAUUGUGCUACAAAUUCUGCAGAUGGCUACAAACAUAGACAGCUGCAACACUGCACUCAAUUGAUUAAUUAUGUAGUAAAAGAGCAAAAAAUCAUAUCUCUGCUGUAACUGCCUGCGAUUACAAUGCGUGAACUAAAUCCAACCCAUAUCGUGAUCGUGUUACAUUAGGCUACAUUUUGAUGAUUUGUUCAUGCUGGAAUCUGAAGGAAACUACGACUUAUGAAUGUUACCAUGUUUAUCUUUUGACCAUACACAACAUGGAAUGUGGAGGGUCUUCACUUACAGACAGUAUUAGCAAUAAUUAUGAAUAGUAUAUUUACGAUCCUGGACAGAUAUUAAUUGUAGUCAACAGAAGCACACUAUGUAAAGCCAAUAUGUAUAGUGCUUUAUGACUUGUCAUAUGCAUAUAUGACCCUUCAAAAUGUGUUGUUAUAGGCUAUGUUAUGCAUUUAUAUUAAGCAUUUCUUUCUGAAAAUAGCUGUUAUGUAUUAAGGAUCACCAUGAGAUGAGAUAAGACAUUGUAAGGAUCAUAUGCUUAUUGCAAGUCUUAUAAUGCAUUAUAACAACAUCAUGCAUUAUCCGUGUUGGCGUUAAGUAAAGUGUUACCCUGUUAACUAUACAGUUAUGAUUGUUUACUGCUGACCCGAAUGACCCUUAUUGGUGUAAAUGUGUUACUAUUUUCUAGUAAAUUGUAAACAAAUGCACACAUUUUACUUAAACAUACCUUAACUUUGGCCUAGAUUCACGGUCUCCAUGAUAUGGAGAAGUGAACAUAAAGAGAGAAUAGCUUGUUUAUUUUUUAACAUAUUUAGCUUGACAUAUGGUAUAGUAAUGUUUAAUGGGCCAAUGCCUGAGUAAGGGGGUGUUGUUUGAAUGAGAAAAAUUAGGCUGUACUCUAUGCAUUAUAAUGCUCAAAUGUUUCUAAAUAUUAUAGCAUGCUUUUGUCCCAAAAUGGCCACCAUGGGCAACUACAACAAUGAUGUCAUUUGGUUGGUGCAUAUUGCUGUAAUGUAACUUUAUUCUUCAAAAUGUUUCCAUCUGAAAUCACAUCAUCAAAUGUACAUCAAUAAUGCAUUUACCACACUUAUAUGGAAACUUGAUGUACAUUCUCAUACCAGCUGCUUAUGCAUGUGUACAAUAUUUGAUGAUAAACUUUUAGAAGUAUUUAUUCUUGGCUUAGUCUGUUCACCUGCAUUAAUGGGUGAUCCCUAUAUGUUGGGUUUUAUUACUGUGAUGACAUCACAGAGGAGAAGGGUUGUUUAGAACACCAAUUGAUAGAGAGCUCUGAUGGAUAGCAUCACGAUUCGAUGGUGGGUAAUCUGGGGCGCUCAAAGUUUUCUCCUAGGCUCCUCCCCUUUUUCUACAUUGAUUGGAAAGACUUGACAGUUAAAACCUUAUGGUGGACGCUCGUCAUUAGGCUAGCUUUAACCUGGUCAGUUCUUUCAGAUCAGUGCAAUAAACUAGAGGAAGCUAUGAGAGAACUGACAUUUUAGACAAUUGAGAAAGAGCCUACCAGCUAUUCAGCUAGUCCUUGGCUGCGUCCCAAAUCACACCCUAUUUUCAAUAUAGGGCACUACUUUUGAACAGGUCACCUGGUCAAAAUAAGUCCACUAUAUAGGGAAUAGGGUGUGAUUUGGGACGUAACACUUCCAUGCAUGAGCCUGGUCAGUAAAACCUGAUCAUCACAAACACCUUGUUUAAAGGCCCAGACUCCCAGAGCACCAAAAAACCCUUAAACUUGAUUCUCUGUUGCACUCCUUAAAACAUGUGAGCAUGAUUACUUCAGACCAGUUUAAACAACAUUAAACUAUUUUUGUGGUCAGCUCAGGGUUGCUGCCUAGUGGCACUAUGUAUGUACAUACUACUUUGGAAUAUCAUGUGGAGAGAGAGAGAGAAUAUUGGUUACACUUUACUUUAAGGGUACCAACAGUAUAUAAGGACUUUAACACAUUCAUAAUGAAAAUAUUUUUUGACCUACUGUAAUUGACAUAAGCAUUUAGUAAAGGUACUGUAUAUGUGCUGUAUGGGUUAUGCAUAUGUUAUGAAGUGCUUAUGUAGAUACCCUUCAAGUAAAGUGUUACUAAAAGAUCAAACAUUAAUAUAAAUAUAUCAUGAGGACAGUAAUGUCACGAUAAUCAUACGUUCCCUGUAAUGAUACUGUACAUGUAAUUAUUGUAAGCACAAAUGAGAG